rnacentral:rRNA from 1 species
GAUGUACGCUGGCGGCGUGCCUAAUACAUGCAAGUCGAGCGAAUGGAUUAAGAGCUUGCUCUUAUGAAGUUAGCGGCGGACGGGUGAGUAACACGUGGGUAACCUGCCCAUAAGACUGGGAUAACUCCGGGAAACCGGGGCUAAUACCGGAUAACAUUUUGAACCGCAUGGUUCGAAAUUGAAAGGCGGCUUCGGCUGUCACUUAUGGAUGGACCCGCGUCGCAUUAGCUAGUUGGUGAGGUAACGGCUCACCAAGGCAACGAUGCGUAGCCGACCUGAGAGGGUGAUCGGCCACACUGGGACUGAGACACGGCCCAGACACCUACGGGAGGCAGCAGUAGGGAAUCUUCCGCAAUGGACGAAAGUCUGACGGAGCAACGCCGCGUGAGCGAUGAAGGCUUUCGGGUCGUAAAACUCUGUUGUUAGGGAAGAACAAGUGCUAGUUGAAUAAGCUGACACCUUGACGGUACCUAACCAGAAAGCCACGGCUAACUACGUGCCAGCCGCCGCGGUAA